ensembl:lncRNA
CCUGAUUUCUGCUCUUGGAAACCUUUUGCCACUUGUUGGGCGUCUCACUCAGAGCUUGUCUUUUUUUUUUUUUUUUUUUUUUUUUUUUUUUUUUUUUUUUUUGUCAAAGUUUACCUAACUGUUAAAGAAUAGCUGUUGCACUUGCCUGCAGCAGGAGGUGAUUAUGGAAAAGAGAUGUCUCAUCUCCAAAGCAGCAGCAGGAGUCAGAGGUGAAUUAGCAGCCAAGAGCAGCCAAGAUCCCAGCUCAUCAACUGCUGAUACUGGUGGGAGAAAGGGUACUGAAAGCCAAGCCUCUUUCCAAUGCUCCAGGAGUGCAGCACAAGCCCUACAGACAUUAUAUGAAAAUAUGAACUAUAUCAUAUCUGUUGAAACUUGUUUUAUUAGAGACAUGAGUACUAACCUUCUCUGCAUAAUCUCUGAAGGAAACAGACUAGCUUUGUAAGGGAGAGACAGAUAAGAACAAACUUUACUUGGAGGAAAGAACAACUGGAAAUAUGUUGUGUAAGAGGAGGGUCUGGCAGAAACCGAGAACUUUCCAAAGCCUGAGAAGUCCUAUCAAUGGCAACUUCUGCCAUUUCUGAUGGUGAACAUCCUGUGGGCUGCCAGGGCAGGGAAUGUCUCCAGACCUGCCUGAGGCCUUUCCCAGUCCAACUGCUGCAGCAGCCUCCUCUCCCAAGUUUAUGAAGCACCAUCUGGAUGCAACAAGAGGAUCUUCAAACUCCUGUUUGCCACAUCUUCAGCCUUCUCCCAUCCUAUGAAGCAUGUCUUUGAGUGAGUUCAUCAUCCUGCUUUCUCAGCAGGUAAAAAUAUCCUCUUUUUUAUCAUCCUAGGGAAGACAUGGCAACUGCUGAGGUGUAAUAGCAGACUUUGAACAUCCUCAAGGCUUUUGAACCUGUAUUGUCCUCUUGACACCCAUGACUUGAAUAUAGUCUGGAACUGAUUAACUUGGCUGCUUCAGUCUCUGGAAGGCAAUGUUCUUUCUGCAGUUAAAUAUUUACUUAUCAUUGUGCAUGGACCAGGCAUUACAGGAGCCCGAGCAACAUUUGCAUUUUCUCCCCAUAAACUGAAAAAGGAGCAUCCUCUAUUAUUUCAGUGCUGCCACUUCCAUCCAUCAUGGUCCUGCUCAAUCUAGCCACCUUCUUAACUUCAGCAAUAUUCCUAAACUAUGACAUCCGUAGCCCACACCAUGGUGAGGCCACAUUGUACAUCCAAAAUAUUCUUUGGUUCCAAAGUAUAUCCUCGGAGUAUAACAUUAAUCCUAUUUCUGAAAAUCAUGUGUCUCUAGCACUUUCAAGCACCUUUGCAUGACAUUGGUUGGGGAAAGGUUGAGCUCUCCCCUACCCAGUCUUCCAUUGGAAGAAGGACUUUUACGAUAGAAAUAAUUUCUAUCUUAGGCAGCACCACAGUGAAGUGGUAAAAUGGAAAAAUCUGAAGCAUUGGUAGGGGCUUUUGGAAAUACUGGCGUAUUCCCAUCUUCCUUCCAGUUCCUACCUGCUGUAAAUACUGGGUGGGUACCCCUGACAUGCCAAUAUACCCAAGAGGAACGUAUCACCCCUCUCUGCUGCUGACCAGCAUCAGACUGCUCCAUCCUGACCACAGCAGUCCAGGGAGAACUGUUUGACAGCCCCAGCACUGGUCUGACCCCCAGGAUGCCAGCAGGCUGGCACUGCUGGAUCUCUGCAGGGAGUGAGGAGAAGCUGGGAGGUGUUUUGGCUCUUCUGAGGGCUGAGUAAACAGAGCACGUUUUUCCUGGGAAUAGGUGCAGUUCCUGACCACACUGAUGAUGCAAUGACUUCCCUGUUGCUCCUCCUGGCAGGGGGAGUCUCCUGUUUCCUCUGACUCAGGCAGAGACUCCUU